ACGUGGCUGGAAAACCAGACCCCUCGCCAGGAGCGAGUGAGGCUUGACAGACAGAGCCUCUCCCUCCUCAGGGCACCGGCCCUGAGAUGGUGCAGGAGCAAAUCUACCCACCGGACCCCAGGCUGGCCGCCACAUAGGAGGGGCUGGGUCGGCCGAGACGUCUCGGAGGGAAGCUCGAGUCCCCGGAAGGUUCCGGUCCAGAGGCCCAGUGGAGGGACACACAGACCCACCCCCGAGAGCACUGAAUUUGGGUCAGCGCCUGGGCCAUCCGCAGCCCCGAAGCCCACACCCUGGGGUCUCCAAGCCCCCCCAGCACAGGCUAGCGGCUCCAGGCAGAGGCUUUUCUUCCUGAGGGGUGUCUACCCGGCCCCCCGGCCUGCAGGGCAGAGUCACAGCGCUGGGCUGGCAGGCCUGGCAGGGAGGACAAAGGGACAGAGGCCGAGUCAAGAUGUUGUGUCUCCUGAGCAGACGGAGCAGGUGGGGCCUCAGGCCUCCAGGGCCGCAGGAGUCGUCCAUCAAACUGAGUGCCCCUCAUUGAAAUUCUAACGGCAAUGCGGCCACAGGCAGGGCUCCUCCGGGGCGUGCCCUGCCUGCCUGCCUGGUGCUCCUGAGAGCCAGACCCAGGUCACAAGGUCAUGAGGCCGCACGCAGAGGCUGUCCCCGGGGAGCUCCGGGUGGGCGCCCUGCAUGGCCUUCCUGAGGACCACACGCCCCUCCCCCAGACGCUGGACAGACACGCUUCUCAUGCGGAGCUGGGUUUUCCUCAGGUUCUCCGUGCCCACGUGGCUCUGCCGUAUAUGAUAAAGCAUGUCCUUUGCCACCAGCUAGUGCUUUGUGUGUGUGAUUUAAUCUCUCCUCCUGGGUGGAAGGAUGCUGCCCUCCCCAAGCACCCAACACGGGGCUGCAUCUGUGCACCCACGACCAGGGUCGGCCGCCCAGCCUGAUCCACAUGUAGGACCCAGCUUGGCCCCCUAUGCUCAUGCAGAGUCUUGCUUUUCAUUUAAUUCAGAAGGUGGGUAGGGAAGAGAGGGCUGGGGUUGAUCCCUCCAGCCUCCCACAGUGUCUGAGGACCAGAGAGGGGCCCUGUGAUACAGAGAGAGGGUGACGUGGAAGGGGGUGCGGUUUGCAGAACAGGCUCCUGCCAGCUGUGGCAAGGACUUGGGGUUUUAUUCCAAAGGAACUUCCAACUAACCAUUAGCCAGAAACACAGAAUCUGGGUCAUGACCCCUGCUUGGUCCCCAGCAUUGUUCGGAAGUGGAGGUGAGGAUGGGGGAAAGUCACAAGCGUUCCUGGCGCUCUUUCUGCUUAAGCAGUGGGUGGCUGGUGGUUCUAUUUACAGAGAUGGUGGGGUUGAGUCUGGGGCCCUGUGGGUAGAUGGGGCUGAAGACCCAGCGUGGGAAGCGAACCACAGACAUGAGUGACUGUGACGGCGCUACUGACAGCCAGCAUCUGGAGUGUAACAUGCCAGGCAUCAUCCCUGCACUUACGCGGAUUGUUCAUGAAUCCUGCUCUGCAAGCGUCUCCCUCCUAUUGGAGGGAAUCUCCUCAAAUGAGGCCCUUCCUAUAACUAAGGAGGGUUGACCAGGAACUCCGAAGAGAAAGGGAGUACCAGCUGAGCAUGGAAAACUCAGCAAAGAUGUCUUUC
rnacentral:lncRNA from 1 species